rnacentral:pre_miRNA from 1 species
AUUCUUCUGAAUCCGAACCGAGAUUUCGUCAGACACUAGACCAUCAGAACUAAUGAGACUCGCAGGAUAAGUAAAGAG